GAUGAACGCUGGCGGCGUGCCUAAUACAUGCAAGUCGAGCGAACAGACGAGAAGCUUGCUCCUCUGACGUUAGCGGCGGACGGGUGAGUAACACGUGGAUAACCUACCUAUAAGACUGGGAUAACUUCGGGAAACCGGAGCUAAUACCGGAUAAUAUAUUGAACCGCAUGGUUCAAUAGUGAAAGACGGUUUUGCUGUCACUUAUAGAUGGAUCCGCGCCGCAUUAGCUAGUUGGUAAGGUAACGGCUUACCAAGGCAACGAUGCGUAGCCGACCUGAGAGGGUGAUCGGCCACACUGGAACUGAGACACGGUCCAGACUCCUACGGGAGGCAGCAGUAGGGAAUCUUCCGCAAUGGGCGAAAGCCUGACGGAGCAACGCCGCGUGAGUGAUGAAGGUCUUCGGAUCGUAAAACUCUGUUAUUAGGGAAGAACAUAUGUGUAAGUAACUGUGCACAUCUUGACGGUACCUAAUCAGAAAGCCACGGCUAACUACGUG
rnacentral:rRNA from 1 species